AUUGAACGCUGGCGGCAGGCCUAACACAUGCAAGUCGAGCGGAUGAAGGGAGCUUGCUCCUGGAUUCAGCGGCGGACGGGUGAGUAAUGCCUAGGAAUCUUCCUGGUAGUGGGGGAUAACGUCCGGAAACGGGCGCUAAUACCGCAUACGUCCUGAGGGAGCAAGUGGGGGAUCUUCGGACCUCCCGCUAUCAGAUGAGCCUAGGUCGGUUUAGCUAGUUGGUGGGGUAAAGGCCUACCAAGGCGACGAUCCGUAACUGGUCUGAGAGGAUGAUCAGUCACACUGGAACUGAGACACGGUCCAGACUCCUACGGGAGGCAGCAGUGGGGAAUAUUGGACAAUGGGCGAAAGCCUGAUCCAGCCAUGCCGCGUGUGUGAAGAAGGUCUUCGGAUUGUAAAGCACUUUAAGUUGGGAGGAAGGGCAGUAAGUUAAUAACUGGCUGUUUUGACGUUACCAACAGAAUAAGCACCGGCUAACUUCGUG
rnacentral:rRNA from 1 species